CUGCGGCCUGGCCGCUACUUGGAGGCGGGCUCCCGGCUGGGCCCCGAUGGGCUAGCCCUGGCCAUGGAUCGGGCGCUGCAGGAGAGGAAGCUCGGCUCAUCCAUGAGCAGGGAGGAGUUCCUAAGGAAAGCCACCGCGCUGUUCAUUGCAAAGGUGAAGCCUGUGGAGUGAUGUUGAGUGGGAGCAGCGCUGGCUGCGGCCGCUGUUGACCCCACUGAGCUGAACGCACCUCGCCCAGCCAUGGCUCCUCUGGCCCAGCCGCAUUGCGAAGUCCCUUUCAGGUGUUGUCCAGAACUGGCACGAGGACUAUGACCUGCAGGGCAGCUCUGGGCAGUGAAUCAAGCCAGAAGGAACGAAGCUGGGCCAUGGCUGCAUUGGGACAGCUCCGUGAGCGUCAUAUCUGGACAAGACACAUCCCCUUCCCCUGGGACGGGGUUUGCUUUGGCACCAGCUGUGUGUCAGGCCAGGGGUUAUUUAUUUGAACUUUUGUUUGUUAUUUAUACUGUGCAAUUGCUGGUUUGCUGUAAGAUAUUAAAUCUUUUUAUUAUUU